AACGGCUUCUCACUCCCCUUCGUUUGCCCACUCUCCUACCCCAUUACCUGGUACACCUCAGCUCAUCUCAUAUGAACACUUAUCUUAGUUAUAAGCUCCUUAGAGUCAGGGCCACAACUGACCAUCUCAUUCCCACCUACUAAUUGGCCGGCACACAGUAGGUGCUCGCUAAAUGCUCCCCGAAUGACCAAGGGCCAAGACUCCCGAGGGGAGGGGAGGCGCUCACCUGGGGCGCACGAUUUAAAGGAGCAGCUCGUGCCAGGAUGUCUUCUCUAGAAGUUGUACCAUUUGAAUUCCCAUCAGCAAUGAAUAAGAUUUCCUGUUGUCCCAC